CAGCAGCCGCGGUAAUACGAAGGGGGCUAGCGUUGCUCGGAAUCACUGGGCGUAAAGGGUGCGUAGGCGGGUCUUUAAGUCAGGGGUGAAAUCCUGGAGCUCAACUCCAGAACUGCCUUUGAUACUGAGGAUCUUGAGUUCGGGAGAGGUGAGUGGAACUGCGAGUGUAGAGGUGAAAUUCGUAGAUAUUCGCAAGAACACCAGUGGCGAAGGCGGCUCACUGGCCCGAUACUGACGCUGAGGUGCGAAAGCGUGGGGAGCAAACAGGAUUAGAUACCCCCGUAGUCCCUGUCUCUUAUAA
rnacentral:rRNA from 1 species